AUGUUCGAAGUCAAACCGAUGAUUUCCAGACAAACUAAUUCCCCUGAGUAGCGUAAAGAAUUGCUGUGUGUAGUCUUUGCCCAUCCCCUGUGAUGGGCUUUUUUUUUG
rnacentral:other from 1 species